rnacentral:rRNA from 1 species
UUAGAGUUUGAUCCUGGCUCAGGACGAACGCUGGCGGCGUGCCUAACACAUGCAAGUCGAACGAGUCCAGACCUUCGGGUCUGAGGCGAGUGGCGGACGGGUGAGUAACACGUGAGCAAUCUGUCCCUGUGUGGGGGACAACCCGGGGAAACCCGGGCUAAUACCGCAUGGGCAGGCACUCCGAAAGGGGAGCCUGGGAAAGAGGCCCUCUUUACAAUGGUCUCAUGCAGGGAGGAGCUCGCGGGCUAUCAGCUAGUUGGUAGUGGUAACGGCCUACCAAGGCGACGACGGCUACGGGGUCUGAGAGGACGACCCCGCACAUUGGAACUGAGACACGGUCCAGACUCCUACGGGAGGCAGCAGUGGGGAAUUUUGGGCAAUGGCCGCAAGGCUGACCCAGCGACGCCGCGUGUGGGAUGACGCCUCUCGGGGUGUAAACCACUGUCAGAGGGGAAGAAUGAGCCAGGUGUAAAUAAUGCCUGGUUGUGACGGUACCCUCAAAGGAAGCACCGGCUAACUCCGUGCCAGCAGCCGCGGUAAUACGGAGGGUGCAAGCGUUGUUCGGAUUUACUGGGCGUAAAGCGCGCGCAGGUGGAUGAACAAGUCGGAAGUGAAAUCUUGAGGCUCAACCUCGAGGCUGCUCCCGAAACUGUUCGUCUAGGGACUGGUAGAGCUGGUAGAAUUCCCGGUGUAGCGGUGGAUGCGUAGAGAUCGGG